AAACUUACCUGUCAGGGAAGACACCAUGAUCAAGCAGGUGGUUUUCCAAAGGUGAGGCCUAUUCCUUGCACUCCAGGUGUACCCACUCCUAAUAAAUUUUAAACAGGGACAAGUAACAUGAAAGGA
rnacentral:snRNA from 1 species